GACGAACGCUGGCGGCGUGCCUAAUACAUGCAAGUUGAGCGAUGAAGAUUGGUGCUUGCACCAAUUUGAAGAGCAGCGAACGGGUGGGUAACGCGUGGGGAAUCUGCCUUUGAGCGGGGGACAACAUUUGGAAACGAAUGCUAAUACCGCAUAACAACUUUAAACAUAAGUUUUAAGUUUGAAAGAUGCAAUUGCAUCACUCAAAGAUGAUCCCGCGUUGUAUUAGCUAGUUGGUGAGGUAAAGGCUCACCAAGGCGAUGAUACAUAGCCGACCUGAGAGGGUGAUCGGCCACAUUGGGACUGAGACACGGCCCAAACGCCUACGGGAGGCAGCAGUAGGGAAUCUUCGGCAAUGGACGAAAGUCUGACCGAGCAACGCCGCGUGAGUGAAGAAGGUUUUCGGAUCGUAAAACUCUGUUGGUAGAGAAGAACGUUGGUGAGAGUGGAAAGCUCAUCAAGUGACGGUAACUACCCAGAAAGGGACGGCUAACUACGUG
rnacentral:rRNA from 1 species